rnacentral:rRNA from 1 species
AGGAUGAACGCUGGCGGUCUGCUUAACACAUGCAAGUCGAACGGAGUAGCAAUACUUAGUGGCGGACGGGUGAGUAACGCGUGAGAAUCUACCUUCAGGACGGAGACAACAGUUGGAAACGACUGCUAACCCCCGAUGUACCGAAAGGGCAAAUAUUUAUAGCCUGAAGAAGAGCUCGCGUCCGAUUAGCUAGUUGGAGAGGUAAAAGCUCACCAAGGCGACGAUCGGUAGCUGGUCUGAGAGGACGAUCAGCCACACUGGGACUGAGACACGGCCCAGACUCCUACGGGAGGCAGCAGUGGGAAUUUUCCGCAAUGGGCGAAAGCCUGACGGAGCAAGACCGCGUGGGGGAAGAAGGCUCUUGGGUUGUAAACCCCUUUUCUCUGGGAAGAACGCAAUGACGGUACCAGAGGAAUCAGCAUCGGCUAACUCCGUGCCAGCAGCCGC